UGAAAAACGAUUUUUGUUUAAAUUAGGAAAGUGAAGCUUGCGGAUAGUUGUUACAGAACACGUUAACUUGAAGUCCAGUAUAGUUAGAAACAAAUGAAAUUUCAAGUCAGGACAAAUUACAGUGAUAUUUCUCAUCUGAAAAAUCAAAGAAAAGCUUCUAAAAAUGCAAACCAUUUUCUUGGUAAUGGAAAGGGAAAAACACAUCGAACCAAAUUCUAGGAGAAAUUAAUGCCUCAGGCAAUAGGACGUGAUAUUUUAAAGGAAAUACACACCAAUUAUGCACUUGAUCAAAGGAUGCUUACGAGAAGUGAUGAUAACGUAAAAAAAACAGCUCUUCCUCUUUGAUUUUUGAAAUAUGCAUAGUAUAAGUGUGACCUCCUAAUUUUGAAACCACCAGAUCACAGGUUAACCGCAUGAUCUAGGUUUGUCUGACUAGGUCUGCUCUUCUGUUUGCUGAAAUACACAUUUUUCCAUUUUGUAUACAUCCUGUAUUAAUUUUUAACUAAAGAAGCAUGAGUAGAAACUCAUUGUAGGACAGUGGCAUGCUUUAUAAUCACAACGGUUAUUAACACACUUGAACCGACAGAUCUCCCUUAUUCAUUAUAAGAAGAAAAAAAAUGCUACUACUUAAAAAGUACUUCACAAUUGCUGGUAAAUCCCUGAAAUUAAAUGGUUGAACGUGGACAUUUUAAAAGCAAAAACGCUUCCCAUGGGAAUUACAAAGAUUUCAGCUGCUCAGCAGGUGCAGAGAUGUUUUUUUUUAAAUUUCGUUAUAUUCUUAAUUUAAGCAAAAAAAAUACUUUCGACGGUUCUCGAAGCCCCCGACCGGUGCAGUCGCUCGGCCGAGAUCUGGCCGAGUUUUGUGAUCGAAGGUUCGAGCCUGCGUCGAGGCACUAGCUGACUGUGAGCGGCCUUCCCCAAACAGGGGGGGCCGAGGCUGCAGCGGGAUCAGUCGGACAGGGCUCUCUCGGCUGUCGGCGGCCAACGACCCCUGCGACGUUCCGGGCGCCUGUAGACAUUUGCCGUUGAGAGACGCGCCUCUUCUCCAAUCGGCGCUGUUUCCAGAUUAAAGUGGCUCGGGGGUGGGCGGAGUCAGGGCUCUGCCAUCACUUCCGCAUUUGCCCCUCCCCCGUGAGGUCGAAGGGAUUGUAGUUGCUGGUGAAGACAUGUUUGACAUGUGUUCCAUGUAAACACACUCUUAGCAAUAAGUCAGUACUAAGAAAGUGACAGUUUCGGAAUUUGUUCUCUCUUGGAUCAUCUUUGUACUGAGGUAAUAUCAUGACCUGGGCAUUUGUGAGCACUUCUGGAAGAGGAAGUAUAACAGCUUUGAUUUUGCCAUCCCAAUACUUUGAUUAUUUUCUGGACGGCAAAGCCAUGAACCCCAAGACCACACAGGGGAGAAUGAGGAAGUGUAGGUGGAUUCUGACUCCGCCCACAUACUAGCCCCUCCUCUUCUGACAUGUCAGUGGCAAAGCACAGAGCUGAUUGGACAAGGCACCUGUCACUCACCUACACACCACCUGCCCGGGAGACGUCAGGGGUCGUGGAGAGUCGAGAGAACCCAACCCAACUGAUCCCACUCUACCCUUUUCCCGCCAUUCAACCAAUUGUGUGCUACAUCUCAGGGACUCUUGGGCAUAGUCAGCUAGCAACAUGACCCAGGCUUGAACCCGUGACCACAGAGCUCCACCUGGACUUGGAUUCACCUUUCCAUAUAUCCAUCCAUCUUCAGUAACUGCUAACUUCAAUAUAGGGCUGUGGUUAGCCAGAGCCUAACACCGCAGGCAAUAGGAGCAAGGCAGAAUGCACCUGGCCAGUCCAUCACAUGGCACAGACAUGGGCAUGCACUUACACACACAUACAGGGGGCAAUUUGGACAGGGCAAUCAACCUACUACAGCAGGAACAAAACCAAACCUGGAUGAGAACGUGCAAACUCCACACAGAAGAUUCCCAUCUACAAUCAAACCCAGAACUCAGGGGCUCUGAGACAGCACCACUAACUUCUGUGCCACUAUUAAGAUUUCUAAUUAAGCCACAAUAAAAAUAUACCACACCAAGAAACUUUACAAUAACGUUAUGAGACUGGAAGCUGCAAAACAGGACAUCUCUGUAGGAUAUCCAGAAUGGAAAAUCUGUUUUAAAAAAAUGGGCACCUUCAAAGAAUUAGAGGGAUUAUGAGAAGGUCAAAACAUUUUUAUUACAGCUUAUUUUUUUUAUUUAUUCCAUUGUGAAAGAUUGACUCGAAACACCAAUUUAUCUUUCGCCAGGAAAAACAUAUUGACUGGCCACGGGCACCUUUUUUUAACAAAGAUCAAAAAAAUCUUUUGUCUUUAACAGGCUGGAACUGAACAAUUAAUAUUCCGAUCUGCGAUGGCUAUGUUGUCAGUGAAACUCCAUAACAAGGAAUCGCAGUUUAAAACUCAACUGGAGACUUUAGGCAGAACCAUUGCUCAUCCUGCAAUGUGAAAGCAAAGAUCCAACUGGGGACUGAAAGAAUAGACUAGUUCACCACGGGCUGCUUCAUAUUUCACCCUCAACUGAAGGAAAGAACAGCUUCAUUCAGAGCACCAAUUAAUUUCAUUAAUUACACUUGCGGCUGCAAAACUGAAAAGCAUCAGCAAACCAUCCAUUCAGAGUCACAGUUCUCUUUGCCUUACUCCGCACGAUAUUAUUUCACGUGCCGAGAACCGAAUCGUUUUUUUAAAUGAUGCAGGACGAGGUAUGAGCCUGCUGAGAUGACAAGCUACCAUCCGCCAAGACUACAUCCAAAACAAGACCACGUGCUUCCUUGGCCUCUGAACUGUUCCCACCUGCCAGAGCUAAUCUGCUUUGCUUUACAGUCCCCGUCCUGCCACAGACCCCCAUCUAACCAGUGGAGAACCUGGCCAGCCAAGCUUUUAACAACUGCCUUAGCCAUUCCCACUGCAACUGAGGAACCUGUAGCCCUACUUACAAACGCUAGUAGGCCCAGGCCUGACAUUAUGUUGCUGCCUGACGCUGAUCGUUUCCUCUGUCUGAUUACCAAGCACACCCAGCACAGAAGAAACAGUGGGUCCCCAAUCCCAGAUGGUUCGCAAACAGGGAAAUGGAG